rnacentral:rRNA from 1 species
GUCCGCACGGUAAACGAUGGAUACCCGCGGUUUGCGAUAUACGGUAAGCCGCCAAGCGAAAGCGUUAAGUAUCCCACCUGGGGAGUACGCCGGCAACGGUGAAACUCAAAGGAAUUGACGGGGGCCCGCACAAGCGGAGGAACAUGUGGUUUAAUUCGAUGAUACGCGAGGAACCUUACCUGGGCUAGAAUGCCCUUGACACUUCCAGAGAUGGGAGGUUCCGCAAGGACAAGGAGCAAGGUGCUGCAUGGCUGUCGU